UACAGAGGGGGCAAGCGUUAUUCGGAAUUAUUGGGCGUAAAGGGCGCGUAGGCGGCUUCGCAAGUGGAUGGUGAAAUCCCUCGGCUUAACCGAGGAAUUGCCGUCCAAACUGCGUUGCUUGAGGCCGGGAGAGGCGAGUGGAAUUCCCAGUGUAGCGGUGAAAUGCGUAGAUAUUGGGAGGAACACCAGUGGCGAAGGCGGCUCGCUGGACCGGUUCUGACGCUGAUGCGCGAAAGCGUGGGGAGCAAACGGG
rnacentral:rRNA from 2 species